AACGAACGCUGGCGGCAGGCCUAACACAUGCAAGUCGAACGCCGUAGCAAUACGGAGUGGCAGACGGGUGAGUAACACGUGGGAACAUACCCUUCGGUUCGGAAUAACUCAGGGAAACUUGAGCUAAUACCGGAUACGUCCGCGAGGAGAAAGAUUCAUCGCCGGAGGAUUGGCCCGCGUCUGAUUAGCUUGUUGGUGAGGUAAUGGCUCACCAAGGCGACGAUCAGUAGCNGGUCUGAGAGGAUGAUCAGCCACAUUGGGACUGAGACACGGCCCAAACUCCUACGGGAGGCAGCAGUGGGGAAUAUUGGACAAUGGGCGCAAGCCUGAUCCAGCCAUGCCGCGUGAGUGAUGAAGGCCCUAGGGUUGUAAAGCUCUUUUGUGCGGGAAGAUAAUGACGGUACCGCAAGAAUAAGCCCCGGCUAACUUCGUGCCAGCAGCCG
rnacentral:rRNA from 1 species